rfam:Penicillium griseofulvum strain PG3 contig_80, whole genome shotgun sequence.
GCCCUUCGGGGCAUAGUGUGACGUUGAAAAUAUACAGAGAGGAUUAGCUUGGCCCCUGCACUAAGGAUGACACGCUCAAUCAAAGAGAAGAUGCCCAUUUUU